rnacentral:rRNA from 1 species
AACGAACGCUGGCGGCAUGCCUAACACAUGCAAGUCGAACGAGACCUCGGGUCUAGUGGCGCACGGGUGCGUAACGCGUGGGAACCUGCCCUUAGGUUCGGAAUAACUCCCCGGAAGGGGUGCUAAUACCGGGUAAUGUCUUCGGACCAAAGAUUUAUCGCCUUUGGAUGGGCCCGCGUUGGAUUAGCUAGUUGGUAGGGUAAAAGCCUACCAAGGCGACGAUCCAUAGCUGGUCUGAGAGGAUGAUCAGCCACACUGGGACUGAGACACGGCCCAGACUCCUACGGGAGGCAGCAGUGGGGAAUAUUGGACAAUGGGCGAAAGCCUGAUCCAGCAAUGCCGCGUGAGUGAUGAAGGCCUUAGGGUUGUAAAGCUCUUUUACCCGGGAUGAUAAUGACAGUACCGGGAGAAUAAGCUCCGGCUAACUCCGUG